AAAUUUGAACCUAGUUUAUUUGCAGAAUUUUACUUAACCCAUUCUCAUUUUUUCCUAUUUCUCACCAUUAUAUAAAAACUCAUACUUUACACAAGUACAUAAAAUGCUGAAUAUUGCACAUUUAAUGACCAAAAUAAAGUUGUGGUUUUUAAAGUGCACACUAGACAUGUAGGAAGGAAGAAUUGAACACACUUAAAAAGUGUUUGUCUCCACAUAAGUCAUUUUAAACCAUUUGAAAGAAUAAAUUCUAACUCUCAAUGCUCAAUGAAAGAUAUCUGUACAUUAAAAAAUAAGUACAAUAAGUACAAUAAAAAUAACACUUCUUCGUGAUUUCAUUAUCUCAAAAUAGGAUUAGUAGUUUAAUUUUCAAGUUAUUGUCAUCAGGAAGCAGGAACCCAUCCAGAGUGAAAGAAAUUUCAAACACAGCUGCUGCAGGACACAUGAGGCCUGAGGCAGCCUAGAACCCAGAGUAUGCUCACGGACUAGAACAAAGUCAGCACUAGUGCCUGGCUGUAAGGCGGUAACUGUCCCCAGCAUGCAAAUGGAAGAGCACAGAAGGGAACACUUUUUUAAAAAGCGACACGUGCUUAUUUCCCAACAUCGUAUUCUCCAUUUUGCUUAAUAAGACAAAGUUAACUGACCAGAAAAACAAUCAGCUACUACCUCAAAAUAAGAUGUAAGUUGGCCCAAAAUGAAGAGCAGACAGUAGUAAAGGAUCGAGUGCAAAGUGCCUUAUUGUUAGGCCCAUCCUGCAGAUACGGCAUGAGACUAGUCUUCAGCAGCAACAUAUUAAAUUGAGGUCUGGAAUUUGAAAUCGCCACUAGUUUAAUAUGCCAACCACAAGUCACAGCUACUGAAAGCCAGUGCCACCCAAGUGUCCACACUGGUGUGACUGUCAUCCCAAGCCAGGGACAGCAUAAGGCAAGUGAGGCACCAAGGGCACAGGAUGUGACAAGCACCCUCUCUUGGCACCUGCAAGCAUAUGCCUGCUUGAAUGUGUGCCCUAGGCAUCUCACUCAUCUCGCCAUAGUCCUGGCCUGCUCAGCCUGGGCACAUCCCUUUUAGGAUAACAUGGAUUAAAAGUGCAGCCCUGUUGGACAUGUGGUGGAAGAGGACUAACUGCAGACAUUGGGGCAUUUAGCCUGAAGAGGACUAAGUGGUGGGGAAGCCGGUGGGGGCAGGAAGUGACGAGAGCUAAGAAUAUCUGAAGAUGUGUCAUGAGGGGGUAGGAGAGCAGCCCAGCCUGGACUGCUGCAGGCAGAACCACAACCAAUAGGCAGAGCUGCCAGGAGGAGCUCAGCUCGGUGUGAGCAUAACUACAGAUAGAGCCCGCCAGUGGCAGCCUGGAAUUGCCAGCAGGGGCUGAACUACCAGUCACUGGACGGGGCAGAGGAGAGGCUGGAGGAUCCCUGCCGAGGGAAAGGUGGACUAGAUGACUUUUAAUGCCCCUUCUGGCUUUAAAAGUCCAUGAUUCUAGGACAUUUGCUGCCUGUUCCAGAAUGAUUUUAGGAAUAGAAACCCAAUGAAAGACUGUAUUAUUCAAAAGGAAGAAGAGCGUAAACACUAUUGACUUGUACAACAUGGACACACUGAUUUGGGCUGUCACUUGAAUGAAGGUAGUUAGGCUGGUCUGUGGGUUUCCGUUUUCUGGACUAGCCUUCCCCCAACCUCAAAGAACUGAGAGACCAGGCACAACCCCAGGAAGGUAGAGGUGGCCAAGCCAACCAAAUGCUCAUGAAACUAAGAAGCGAGUCAUGCUUUGGAGCUGAGGUCAGGAGUGUGUAGCAGCUUGGAGACCAGGUACGGGCGAGUCCUGGCUCCACCGGCUACUGCUACACUGUGCAGACAUAUCCAGCAGGACCUCUACCAUUUAACAUCCUGUGCCUUCCAGCUUUCUGACCUUCACUUGUUCUAGUUAGGCGGUGGAGCGGGGAGAUGGGGAACCAAGUCUGCUUCUGUGACCCAUCUGUGCAUUGUAGGGUGGGAAGUGAUGAAUGGAGAAGCAAAAAGGCACUUUCCAUUGAGACCAGAACGCUGCCUCCUCCUGCUCCCAGGAAGCUGCUGGACAGCCUUAUCAGAGCCAGAUACCACUGUGCAGGAUGGGCCAGAGUGUGCAGCAGUUCACCUUCCACACUGCUCGGCCCACAAGGCAGGCCUUGGCCUUGCUGGAUCCCAAUAUCGACAUGCAGCACCCAUCCCUUUCUCUGAAACUGCAGCCCCGCGCUUUCUGGAGGCCAACAGUUUUUUCAAGCAAAGGCUUGUUACUCCUACAAGUCAAGGGCAGGUUUGUCCAUCUGCUACCCUUCUCUCCCAGGGGGCCACAGCAGUGUUGUCAUGAUCUCAACUAUCUCAGUAUCUUUAAAGCUUUAGCUUCUUGCAGGAACCUAGGAGAUGAGUAAACCUUUAAUGUUAAGCCUGAAGGAGUUAAAGAGGAAGCACUUUUCCUGACCGUCUCUGGUAAUCAGGUUACAGUGUCAAAUAAAUGAGAUGACAUCAGGCAUAAAUGUCUACAUCAAUUUUAACUGAAUACAAGACUGCGGGAUAGCCCUGUAAUUCAGAUUCUUAUCAAUGAUAACCAAAGAUUGAUUUUAUUUUUCAUAAUUUUUACAGACUAAAUAAAUUAUAAAUAUUAUAAACUUCUAAAAUUAACAAAUCAUAAUUUUCUUUAAAAUGUACAUACUGUCACUCAAAAAUUUCACAUUCUAGGAUAUCGAUAAUUACAUCCUCCUCAAAGAAAACAGCACACAAAAUAUUUCCUGUCAUAAAGUCAGUGCUGCCAAAUCAGUCAAUUAAACUGUCCACAGCUUCUAAAAUUUUCUUAUACACAAGAUGAGAAGAUGACUGAUUUUGAAAGUGGAGAGAAGCAAAUACAAGGCAUUCUGAGACACGUCCCUCUGAGAUGGACACUUUGUGGCCUGCAAAACUCACACUGAACACGGAUGUUCUUUAUCAGAGCUCCAAAGCAGUUCAGUGAGGCAGAACUCUUCUGUCCAACUAAAAAAGUUCAA